rnacentral:rRNA from 1 species
AACGAACGCUGGCGGCAUGCCUAACACAUGCAAGUCGAACGAAACCUUCGGGUCUAGUGGCGCACGGGUGCGUAACGCGUGGGAACCUGCCCUUAGGUUCGGAAUAACUCCCCGAAAGGGGUGCUAAUACCGGAUAAUGUCUUCGGACCAAAGAUUUAUCGCCUUUGGAUGGGCCCGCGUUGGAUUAGCUAGUUGGUAGGGUAAAAGCCUACCAAGGGGACGAUCCAUAGCUGGUCUGAGAGGAUGAUCAGCCACACUGGGAAUGAGACACGGCCCAGAACCCUACGGGAGGCAGGAGUGGGGAAUAUUGGAGAAUGGGGGAAAGCCUGAUCCAGCCAUGCCGGGGGAGUGAUGAAGGCCUUAGGGUUGUAAAGCUCUUUUACCCGGGAUGAUAAUGACAGUACCGGGAGAAUAAGCUCCGGCUAACUCCGUG